AAGACCUUGCGCUUUUGGAGCGGCCGAUGCCUGAUUAGCUUGUUGGUAAGGUAAAAGCUUACCAAGGCUUCGAUCAGUAGCUGGUCUGAGAGGACGACCAGCCACACUGGGACUGAGACACGGCCCAGACUCCUACGGGAGGCAGCAGUGGGGAAUUUUGGACAAUGGGGGCAACCCUGAUCCAGCCAUGCCGCGUGAGUGAAGAAGGCCUUCGGGUUGUAAAGCUCUUUCAGCCGGAACGAAACGGUUACGGAUAACACCCGUGACUACUGACGGUACCGGAAGAAGAAGCACCGGCUAACUACGUGCCAGCAGCCACGGUAAUACGUAGGGUGCGAGCGUUAAUCGGAAUUACUGGGCGUAAAGCGUGCGCAGGUGGUUUUGUAAGUCAGAUGUGAAAGCCCCGGGCUCAACCUGGGAACU
rnacentral:rRNA from 1 species